rnacentral:lncRNA from 1 species
UUCCAUUUAUUUCUCUUCCAAAACACAACCAAUCUUUUAGCCCUAAAUUACAGCCCUAAAAUCGACUUGAUAUGGCUCAUUCUAGCAAACGCCGAAUCACCAUUUCAUUCGGUGGCCGACAAUGCACGAGCAGCGACCAGAUUCCACCGACGAAGGCACCAUUCAAGGAAACCUGGUAUGCUAUUUUAUUUUUUCUUUCUUUUUUUUUUUAAAAAAAACCCUAGAUCUAAUACUGUUCAUUCAAGAAAGAUGAAGCCAAAUAUAAAAAACACUUAAUACCAUCCGACCCUCGUCCAUAUCUCAAUAUUUUUGAGAUAUUUGGGACUUCAUUGGUGUCGUUUCGAGUAUUUUGUAUGCAGAGGAUUGUAAGUAAUUCGAAAGAAAAAGAAAAAGAACAAGAAAUCACCUCUUUAAAAUUUCUUUCUAUUCAAUUGCUUUGUAUAUGUUGUUAUGUGAAUAAUAUGCAUGUAAAAAAAAAGGGAACUUUACAAUCAAAAUCCAUAGGGCUUUAUAAGUGAAUAAUCAUAAGAAAAGAUACAACAAUUUUUCUCUCUAUUGGCUGUUGCUCUGCUGCUGUUCUCUUGUUUUCUUUUGCAGGUACGGGGUACAGGGCGUGUGAUGGCACUUGGUGUGAGGCGUACGGAGGAGUGGGCGUGGCUGUGGCGCCAGGAGGCCGUACGAGGCUUGGAGGCUAGAGGUUACUGUUGCGGCGCAAGAGGGGGUGACCUAGGGUUUCUGAAACUGUUUUAGUUUUUGGGCCGUUUGGGCCUUGAAUUUUUGGACUGUAAUUGGACUUUUUAUUAUUAGGUUUUUUUUAAUUAUUUUUUAUUUUGGGCUUUGAUGUAGACUCGGGAAAAUUGGCCCGUUUACACAUAUUUUAGACUAGAAUGUCAUGUCAGACACAUAUCCUACCCCCAUCCGUUACACACGAACUCCAUCCAACCAAUCACACCAAUUAGGACUAAAAAGGUUCAUCCAUCCAAUCACACCGGGUCGUGGUGG